rnacentral:rRNA from 1 species
CAGCAGCCGCGGGAAUACGUAGGGUGCGAGCGUUAAUCGGAAUUACUGGGCGUAAAGCGUGCGCAGGCGGUUGUGUAAGACAGGUGUGAAAUCCCCGGGCUUAACCUGGGAACUGCGCUUGUGACUGCACAGCUAGAGUAUGGCAGAGGGGGGUGGAAUUCCACGUGUAGCAGUGAAAUGCGUAGAGAUGUGGAGGAAUACCGAAGGCGAAGGCAGCCCCUUGGGAAUGUACUGACGCUCAUGUGCGAAAGCGUGGGGAGCAAACAGGAUUAGAUACCCCCGUAGUCCCUGUCUCUUAUAC